AUUGAACGCUGGCGGCAUGCCUUACACAUGCAAGUCGAACGGCAGCACGGGAGCAAUCCUGGUGGCGAGUGGCGAACGGGUGAGUAAUAUAUCGGAACAUGCCCAGUCGUGGGGGAUAACGUAGCGAAAGCUACGCUAAUACCGCAUACGAUCUAUGGAUGAAAGCGGGGGAUCGCAAGACCUCGCGCGAUUGGAGCGGCCGAUAUCAGAUUAGGUAGUUGGUGAGGUAAAGGCUCACCAAGCCGACGAUCUGUAGCUGGUCUGAGAGGACGACCAGCCACACUGGGACUGAGACACGGCCCCAGACUCCUACGGGAGGCAGCAGUGGGGAAUUUUGGACAAUGGGCGCAAGCCUGAUCCAGCAAUGCCGCGUGCAGGAUGAAGGCCUU
rnacentral:rRNA from 1 species